CGGUGCCAGCCGCCGCGGUAAUACCGGCGCCUCAAGUGGUAGUCGCUUUUAUUGGGCCUAAAACGUCCGUAGCCGGUUUGGUACAUUCGUGGGUAAAUCAACCCGCUCAACGGGUUGAAUUCUGCGAGGACGGCCAGACUUGGGACCGGGAGAGGUGUGGGGUACUCUCAGGGUAGGGGUAAAAUCCUGUCAUCCUGAGAGGACCACCUGUUGCGAAGGCGCCACACUAGAACGGACCCGACGGUCAGGGACGAAGCCUAGGGGCACGAACCGGAUUAGAUACCCGGGUAGUCCUAGGUGUAAACGCUGUGGACUUGAUGUUGGAGGGGCUCCGAGCUCUUUCAGUGUCGAAGCGAAGGUGAUAAGUCCACUGCCUGGGAAGUACGGUCGCAAGGCUGAAACUUAAAGGAAUUGGCGGGGGAGCACCGCAACCUGAGGAUUGUGCGGUUU
rnacentral:rRNA from 1 species